rnacentral:rRNA from 1 species
CCUACCCUUGACAUGUCAGGAAGUCCGCAGAGAUGUGGAUGUGCUCGAAAGAGAACCUGAACGCAGGUGCUGCAUGGCUGUCGUCAGCUCGUGUCGUGAGAUGUUGGGUUAAGUCCCGCAACGAGCGCAACCCUUGUCAUUAGUUGAUACGAAAGGGCACUCUAAUGAGACUGCCGGUGACAAACCGGAGGAAGGUGGGGAUGACGUCAAGUCCUCAUGGCCCUUAUAGGUGGGGCUACACACGUCAUACAAUGGCUGGUACAAAGGGUUGCCAACCCGCGAGGGGGAGCCAAUCCCAUAAAGCCAGUCGUAGUCCGGAUCGCAGUCUGCAACUCGACUGCGUGAAGUCGGAAUCGCUAGUAAUCGUGGAUCAGCAUGUCACGGUGAAUACGUUCCCGGGUCUUGUACACACGCAAUC